GACGAACGCUAGCGGCGUGCCUAAGCUAUGCAAGUCGAGCGGGGUUUCAGAGUCGAGUUUCCUUCGGGAGACAAAGCACUGAAACCUAGCGGCGAACGGGUGAGUAACACGUGAGCAACCUACCCUGUUGUCUGGGAUAACAGACCGAAAGGCCUGCUAAUACCGGAUACGAAGCUCCUUCGCAUGUUGGAGCUUGGAAAGGGGCAACCCGCAAUGGGAGGGGCUUACGGCCUAUCAGCUAGUUGGUGAGGUAACGGCCCACCAAGGCGACGACGGGUAGCCGACCUGAGAGGGUGACCGGCCACACUGGGACUGAGACACGGCCCAGACUCCUACGGGAGGCAGCAAGCGGGAAUCUUGCACAAUGGGCGCAAGCCUGAUGCAGCGACGCCGCGUGAGGGAUGAAGGCCUUCGGGUCGUAAACCUCUGUUGAUGGGGACGAAG
rnacentral:rRNA from 1 species